rnacentral:rRNA from 1 species
UACGUAGGGUCCAAGCGUUAUCCGGAAUCACUGGGCGUAAAGCGCACGUAGGCGGUCUGUUAUGUCGGAUGUGAAAGCCCUUGGCUUAACUGAGGAAGUGCAUCCGAAACUGGCAGGCUAGAGUACUAAAGAGGGUCGCGGAAUUCCCGGUGUAGAGGUGAAAUUCGUAGAUAUCGGGAGGAACACCGGUGGCGAAGGCGGCGACCUGGGUAGAUACUGACGCUGAGGUGCGAAAGCGUGGGGAGCAAACAGG